rnacentral:rRNA from 1 species
GUGGGCGUUGGAUACUUGAGAGGAGCUAACCAUAGUACGAGAGGACCUGGUUGGACGUACCUCUGGUGAGCCGGUUGUCGCGCCAGCGGCAUCGCCGGGUAGCUAGGUACGGAACGGAUAACCGCUGAAAGCAUCUAAGCGGGAAGCCGGCCUCGAGAUGAGGCGUCCCGGGCCGCAAGGCCCCUGAAGGCCCCUUGAAGACUACAAGGUGAUAGGCCAGGUGUGGAAGCACAGCAAUGUGUGGAGCUAACUGGUACUAAUCGGCCGUGAGGCUUGACCUA